UCUGGAAACUGUNUGACUUGAGUGCAGAAGGGGAGAGUGGAAUUCCAUGUGUAGCGGUGAAAUGCGUAGAUAUAUGGAGGANCACCAGUGGCGAAAGCGGCUCUCUGGUCUGUCACUGACGCUGAGGCUCGAAAGCGUGGGUAGCGAACAGGAUUAGAUACCCUGGUCGUCCACGCCGUAAACGAUGAGUGCUAGGUGUUAGGCCCUUUCCGGGGCUUAGUGCCGGAGCUAACGCAAUAAGCACUCCGCCUGGGGAGUACGACCGCAAGGUUGAAACUCAAAGGAAUUGACGGGGGCCCGCACAAGCGGUGGAGCAUGUGGUUUAAUUCGAAGCAACGCGAAGAACCUUACCAGGUCUUGACAUCCCGAUGCUAUUCUUAGAGAUAGGAAGUUACUUCGGUACAUCGGAGACAGGUGGUGCAUGGUUGUCGUCAGCUCGUGUCGUGAGAUGUUGGGUUAAGUCCCGCAACGAGCGCAACCCUUAUUGUUAGUUGCCAUCAUUAAGUUGGGCACUCUAGCGAGACUGCCGGUAAUAAACCGGAGGAAGGUGGGGAUGACGUCAAAUCAUCAUGCCCCUUAUGACCUGGGCUACACACGCGCUACA
rnacentral:rRNA from 1 species